rnacentral:rRNA from 1 species
UACGGAGGGUGCAAGCGUUGUCCGGAUUUAUUGGGUUAAAGGUGCGUAGGCGGCCCGGUAAGUCAGUGGUGAAAGCCUCCAGCUCAACUGGAGAACUGCCAUUGAUACUGCCGGGCUUGAGUACAGACGAGGUUGGCGGAAUUGAUUGUGUAGCGGUGAAAUGCAUAGAUACAAUCAAGAACUCCGAUUGCGUAGGCAGCUAACUAGGCUGUAACUGACGCUGAGGCACGAAAGCGUGGGGAGCGAACAGG